rnacentral:misc_RNA from 1 species
CUUCAGGAGACCGAGAACGAACCGAUGCUCUUGAGCGCCUUUUUCUGCCCUCGCCGCCGACUUCACAUUGGCCAGCCCACCGCAAGGCUUCUGCUGCAACCGCAGCAAGGUGACAGCAACCGCCCACCACGCAAGCUGCCGAUGAGCAGGCGACGGCUCAUGACGAAACAGAAGCCUUAUUGUAGAACCACGUCAUCUGGUCCCAUCUGCGUCAUGCUGAUGUCCUUCGUCUGCUACAUGAUCUACCAAUCAAGAUACGGAUUCGAUGAUGAUCGCAUGCUGAGAUGAAAACAAAAGAGUGCGGCUGCGUACACACCUGCGCUGCGGCCCCUCGAAGCCCCAAACAACAAAAAAGCAUCGAGUAGGGCACGGAAAAGGGGAUGCCAAGGGCGAGAAAGAUAAGGAUGUGCAGCGUGGUGCUGUUACACAGUGCUGCGCGUGCGAGUGCGUCCACCUGUGCGAGAUGUUCAUCGAAUCCUUGCAUACGACUUGCACAGCUGCACCCCUGCAUGCUCUUCUUUUCCUCUCUCUUCCUCACUCGACGAGGUUCUCGCCAG